rnacentral:rRNA from 1 species
GACGAACCGUGCGAACGUUGUUCGGAUUCACUGGGCUUAAAGGGCGCGUAGGCGGCUUGCCAAGUCAGGGGUGAAAUCUUUCGGCUCAACCGGAAAAGUGCUUCUGAUACUGGCAGGCUGGAGGGAGGUAGGGGCAGAUGGAACUUCCGGUGGAGCGGUGAAAUGCGUAGAUAUCUGGAGGAAUACCGGUGGCGAAGGCGGCAUCCUGGACCGACAUUGACGCUGAGGAGCGAAAGCUAGGGGAGCAAACGGG